CUCAGCCCCACUCACCUCACAGAGUGUUUGUUGUGGGGGAGGAAGGGAAAGGAGAAUGUGAGCCGCUUUGAGACUCCUUAGGGUAGUGAUAAAGCAGGAUAUCAAAUCCAAACUCUUCUUCUCCUACUACAGCGGGGAGGAGCACAGAAAGAAGAAACAUCAUGGUACACCUGCAUCUGCCUAACCAGACACCUUCACCUGCCCCAGCUGCAACAGAACAUGUCUCUCCCAUAUCGGUUUCUACAGCCACAGCAGGUACUGUAACUCUCCAGUGGUUUGACUUCACCCCCAAAGGCGCACUCUUCCAUUGUCUCCCAAGACAGACAGAUGCCAACCAGAUAUGGGUAAUUGCUGAACUGGGGGGCAGCUUCAACUAAUGAGUCCCAGUAGUAGAUGUCCACCUACACAAGGACUUCAGCAAGCUUAGUGGGGCUUUCCUUCGUCUCCCCACCAGCACCACCAUAUUGACUCAGGGUGGGUUCGGGAGAGCCCCCAAAACAGCACACAGGUGGAGGAGGGGGCAUCAUUUCAUCUGACAAAUUUGUGCUUGUGCUGACAGAACAAUUGCCACAGUACUACAUAUAAUUCCUCUCUUUAUGUUUGUUUGUUUGUUUGUUUGUUUGUUUGUUUGUUUAAUGGGAACCAGUCAUUUCUUCUUUACCUCAGAAUUCUAGGUGAUACCUGCAAAGAGAAACAUCAUGCUUGGUUCUAAUAAAGGUGUAUUGCCCAAUUGUAGUUGCUGGAAAUGUUUUUUUCCUCCUUAUGGACCAACAUGGCUGCCUUGGUGUGUUUUUUUAAAAAAAUAAAUAAAUUUAGUGGUGGCUCUGUGCUUGAAUAGAAAUAAAAUGAAGUGUGACAUAUUGUUCUUCCCCUGAGGCCAUGUUGUCCAGCAUCCUGGUCUCAUAACCAAUUGUUUUCCUACUUGUAAAGGUAAAGGUAAAGGGACCCCUGACCAUUAGGUCCAGUCGUGACUGACUCUGGGGUUGCAGCGCUCAACCCGUUUUAUUGGCCGAGGGAGCCGGUGUACAGCUUCCGGGUCAUGUGGCCAGCAUGACUAAGCCACUUCUGGCGAACCAGAGCAGCGCACGGAAACACCGUUUACCUUCCUGCCGGAGCGGUACCUAUUUAUCUACUUGCACUUGAUGUGCUUCAGACUAGCUAGGUGGGCAAGAGCAGGGACCGAGCAAUAGGCUCACCAGUCUGGAGAUGAUCUGCCGACCUUCUGAUCAGCAAGUCCUAGGCUCUGUGGUUUAACCCACAGCGCCACCCGCGUCCCUUACUUUCCUACUUGUAGACAUCCUAUAUUUUAUUUCUUUGUUUGAUUGUUUUUGUUCAUUAGUAGUUCCUUGUGUUAUUCCAUGGUAUGCCUUUGUUUUGCUCAGGCUUGUUGGUACAUGUCUACUACUGUACUGUCAUCCAUGCCACUAUUAGUUAUUGUUGUCUUGAUGCAUAUUUCUCAUUAAACUCAACUAAUACUUCUCACAUUUUCCAGAGACUUUCUGACUUGUCUCCAUGAGUUCACCUCAGAUGAGACUUGUAUAGUGUUGAUUAACAGCAGCUAUAGUUCUACUUGUGCCAUUUGGCAAAAGUAGUUCUUAGCUGCUGCUGAAUCAACACUAGUGCAAUUCUCAUCUGAGGCAAAUCUGACGGACUCAAGUCAGAAAGUGCUUUGCAAAUGUGAGGUGUAUUCGCUUGUCCAGUCUUCCUGAGUAUUGUUGAAUCAACACCUCAGUUACCCAUAGUGGUAUGGAUGUUCCAGAACUAGUAGUAGUCAUGUACCAACAAGCCUGAGUAAGGCAAAGGCAUACCAUGGAAUAGCUAAGGAACUACCAAUGAACAUGGACCAUUGAACACAGACAUAAUAUAUAGGAUGUCUAUAUGUAGGAAAGUAUCUUCAUCUGUUAACCUUUUCUCUCAUCUUUUGCAUAGCUAUCUCCUUGGUUGAUAUGUUCCUUUUUUAAAAGAAUCACACUCAAAUAGUCAGGAACUGGGUUUGUUUUGUUUUUAAUGUGCCAUAACCUCAGAAUUCUCCUGCCAUCCUAGCAGUUCAAAAGCACGUCCAAGUGCAAGUAGAUAAAUAGGUACUGCUCCGGCAGGAAGGUAAAUGGCGUUUCUGUGUGCUGCUCUGGUUCGCCAGAAGCGGCUUAGUCAUGCAGGACACACGACCCGGAAGCUGUACGCCGGCUCCCUCGGCCAAUAAAGCGAGAUGAGUGCCGCAACCCCAGAGUCAGCCAUGACUGGACCUAAUGGUCAGGGGUCCCUUUACCUUUAACAUCAGAAUUAUCCAAGAAGCCCAUCUGCAUUGGAAAUACAGUGGUACCUCGGGUUAAGUACUUAAUUCGUUCUGGAGGUCCGUUCUUAACCUGAAGCUGUUCUUAACCUGAAGCACCACUUUAGCUAAUGGGGCCUCCUGCUGCCACCGCGCCGCCGGAGCAGGAUUUCUGUUCUCAUCCUGAAGCAAAGUUCUUAACCUGAAGCACUAUUUCUGGGUUAGCGGAGUCUAUAACCUGAAGCGUAUGUAACCUGAGGUACCAUUGUAAAGGUAUUUGAUUGAGAUGACCACCUUUUAACCUAGCAAAUUGCAGACAGCACAGCUAGAGUUGCCACUGAAAUCCACCAAUUGUAGAAUUAUUAUUUGUUUUUACAUAACAUAAAGAGAAACUGGAUACCAAUUACUAUUAUCAGCUACAUGAUAUUUUUCAGAAUGGGUAUGACCAAGUAACAACUCUACACAUUAUAUUUCUACAAAGGAUCUCCAUUAUUAGUUUUCAAGUCAUGCUUUCAGUUGCCUCUUCUUUCUUCCAAAAGGCCCUUUCCCCCAGACAUUUAUUUCUGCAGAAACAAAUAAUUUGGACAAAUCUCUUUCAUAAUGCAUUCUCAAAUUAUCAUGAGCAGUGCUUCUGAGAUAUGAGCUAUCCAUGCAAAUUAUGAAUGGGGGAGUAAGUAUACUUGAAAGUUGAGUAAUGAAGAUAUAAAUCUGGUGUGUGGGUGUUUUGUUUCAUUUAAAUUGUUUGAUAUAAGUGAGAAGGAAGAGGGAAAGGAAGUGAGGAAAAAGGGAGCAGAAAAACUGGCCUGUGUCUUUGUGCUUCAAAAUACCUUCCAGCAACUACAGAAGGAAGAAUGCAAAUAUACAUCCUGGACCCAGCUUAAGAGAUCAUGACUUCUCCUGUGGUAUGUUAUGACCGUUAAGAUCAGCUAGGGCAGCAUACUAACCAUACAUAUAUAAGGCACAUGACUUUCCCCAAAGAAUAUUGGGCACUGUAGUUUGUUAAGGGUGGUGGGAAUUGUACCGCUGCGAGGGGUAAGCUACAGUUCGCAUGACUGGGCGGGGGGUGAGUCAUGUACUUUAGACACGCUUUAAAUGUAUUUCGCUUAUGUAGCAAAAUAGUGACUGCUGUGUUUGUGGUCAAGGCUGGACAUUCCCCAGCAGCUGCCCCCCCCACCAUGGAAUUCUUUUCUUCUUGAGACUUGAGAAUAACCGAGCCUUCUAAAACACUUUCUGAAACACAAAGAACAUUGCAGUGGUGUGUCUUAUUCUUCUCUCCUCUUUAUUUAAUAUGACUUGUUAUAAGAACAAAUGGUUGUGUGCUUCUUCACCUCACCUGUUGCUGGCAUGGAAAUGUUAUAGCAUCAUGAGUCAAAAGCACAAGGUAGGUUGUACUAAACUUUAUGGCAGCAGAGGCAUAGCUGGUGGGUUUUUGGCAUCAGGCACAGGUUUGGAGGUAAAGCAUAGUUCUGCUAACUUCCUGGAGCUAGGUAAGAAGACAUUUUUUAGCUCCUUUAAGCUGCUGUCAGUAUUUGUCAACUGGAGUUUUAUACUAUGCUGUAGCAUUGUUUUAGAUAUCUUGUAGUAAGUUUUUGUUGUUGCUCCCUUACCUGUAAAACAAGCGCUGAAGACAAAAAAGCUGUGCAGUAAUAGAUUAAUGCUGAAUUGUCUGUCUUCAGCCUAAAUUAAAAUGGCUACAAUCCGUAGCUCAGACUGUACCAAGGAAAAUUGGGCUCUGUCAUUAUUUUAUUACUUCAUUAAGUUUGAAUAAAUCAUAAGCACUGAAUCAAUUGUAUAAGAACGAUAACUGAUACAACCAAGCAAAAACCAAACAAUUGUAUCUUGAUAAGAAAGCAAAACAAAUACACAGAACAAACAGUAGAAAAGUGUAAGAAUUGUAUACGAUAAUCUUCAGGGAUUAUAUCAUAUAAGUAUAACAACAGAAAAGGAAUUAUGUUUUAUAUUGCAGAUUCGGGAAAGAGGACACAAAACACAUAUUAAAAUAAAAUAAAUAAGAAAUCAAGAGACUUCAACUUAACUAGAUCCCUUUAAAUGCCAAUGGCGAAGACCGACUGUGUUCUUGUAAUACUUAUAUAUGAUUCUGGAUUGUUGGAUGCUGCCAUUUGAUAAUGCCCUUUUAAAAUGUGGUUUUUUUGGGGGGGGUGCUAUUGGUCUGUUGUUUUAUUGUCAUUGGGUAUCUUGUGGUUUUAUAUGAUUUUAUUCUGUGAACCGCCCUGAGACCCACGGGUAUAGGGUGGUUAUUAUUAUUAUUAUUAUUAUUAUUAUUAUUAUUAUAUGCUUUUGGACUUUAGGCUGCAUCCAUUUCAUGGAUGUUGUCAGUUUAGCAGCCAUGAUACCAGAUUAAGUCAGAGGUUCAGUGUUGGGAUUGUACAACUGCAUUUGACUUGACUUGCAAAGACUAUCACAUCGCAUUCACUGGGCAUGAAAGUUUAGACAUGAUCACAGCAUGACUGGAGGUAAGAGGAGGCUUUGAUUCUUGGGGGGAUCUGUUAUGUGAAUUGCACUUUCUUAAAUGGAAAAUUAAACCUUUUUAUCACUUUGAAAUAUUCAGCCAGUAGCCAAUUAUUCAUCCGUUGCUGUUAUGGUUCCUUAUACAGUUUAAUGAUAUCACUGAAGGCUGGAAAGACAGUCCGGCUAAGAGAAAUGCAAAUCUGGACCUGCAUUUUGCUUCCUCCUGGAACUUUCUUGCACUGAAAGGAUAUUGCCAAUUAAGUUAAGAGGCGAGAGGAGAUGGGUAGAGUUGCUAAGCUGCAAUCUUGAGAUUCCCCUUGUCCCUGUAAAUCUGGUGCAGUACCUGAAGAUGAGAGAACUGUGGCAUCUGUCUUCCUGUGUCUUUUUCAUCUUUCUUCUCUCGCCACCUAUUGUGUGACUUAACUGCUCACCACAGCAGGCCAGGGGCAGGGCAGGCUAAACUACCUGGGAUGAGGGAGAGCAGAAAUGGCUGCCUUCUCUCCUAAUUCAACAGUAGAUAUCAAGGUCCAUGGACAGCCUUCAGGUCGCAAUCUGACAGCCUGAAGGCUUAACUGUUAAUAGGUAAAGGUAAAUGGAACCCUAACCAUUAGGUCCAGUCGUGGCCAACUCUGGGGUUGCGGCACUCAUCUCGCUUUAUUGGCCGAGGGAGCCGGCGUACGGCUUCCGGGUCACGUGGCCAGGAUGACUAAGCCGCUUCUGGCGAACCACAGCAGCGCACAGAAACGCCGUUUACCUUCCUGCCAGAGUGGUACCUAUUUAUCUACUUGCACUUCAUGCUUUUGAACUGCUAGGUUGGCAGGAGCAGGGACCGAGCAAUGGGAGCUCACCCCGUCACGGGGAUUCGAACCGCCGACCUUCUGAUCGGCAAGUCCUAGGCUCUGUGGUUUAACCCACAGCGCCACCUGCGUCCCCUAACUGUUAAUAGAGCAGCAUGCAAUUCAUCUUCAGGGCAAUGAGUUUUUCCUUAGGACUUUUGUGUGCAGGUUAGGGAGGUUUAAUCCUUCACUCCCCAUGAGCCCCCCAAUGAACCCUACUCCCCAAAGUGGCCAUUAGGCUUAAGGAAAAGGUUUUCAUCAUUGGUGCUAAUAAGAUGACCUUGCAAGCAUCAUAAUAAUAAUAAUAAUAAUAAUAAUAAUAAUUUUAUUUGUAUCCCGCCCUCCCCGGCCAAAGCCUGGCCCAGAGUGGCCAACAAGAAGCAAAAAUAGCGCAGCACACACAAAAUCACACAGUAAAUCAAUCAAAAUACACUCUAAAAUCAAUUCAGAAUCAAAUUAAUGCCAACCAUUGGGUUAGAGUCCUAUGAGGAUUACAGAAGGAGAGAGGGGGUCAGACUGUGCCUUGGCCAAAGGCCUGGCGGAACAGCUCCAUCUUGCAGGCCCUGCGGAAAGAUGUCAAGUCCCGCCCUAGUCUCUUGUGACAGAGCAUUUCACCAGAUCGGGGCCAUGGCCGAAAAAGCCCUAGCUCUGGUUGAGGCCAGCCUAACCUCCCUGUGGCCCGGGAUCUCCAAGAUGUUUUUACUUGAAGACCAUAAGGUCCUCCGUGGGACAUACCAGGAGAGGCGGUCCUGUAGGUAUGAGGGUCCUAGGCCAUAUAAGGCUUUAAAGGUUAAAACCAGCAGCUUAAACCUGAUCCUGUACUCCACCAGGAGCCAGUGCAGCUGGAAAAGCACCGGGUGAAUGUGAUCCUGCAGUGAGGACCCCGUAAGGAGUCUCUCUGCGGCAUUCUGCACCCGCAGAGAAUUGUACUGCACUGAGGGUGCCUUUUUGUCAUCAGUAAAGUAUUGCUGCUUGAGUCCAGUGGCAUUGCCACAACAAAAGCGCUGCCCUGGAGCAAGAUGUGUGCAGGAAGUUUUUCAACAUAUUAGUUGAACUAACUACUCAUUCAUUGCUCAGGAAAAGCUCUAUGCCAGGGGUCAGCAAACGUUUUCAGCAGGGGCCGGUCCACUGUCCCUCAGACCUUGUGGGGGGCCAGACUAUAUUUUUUUUGGGGGGGGAAUGAAUGAAUUCCUAUGCCCCACAAAUAACCCAGAGAUGCAUUUUAAAUAAAAGGACACAUUCUACUCAUGUAAAAAUACCAGGCAGGCCCUACAAAUAACCCAGAGAUGCAUUUUAAAUAAAAGGACACAUUCUACUCAUGUAAAAACAUGCUGAUUCCUGGAAUGUCCGUGGGCCGGAUUGAGAAGGCGAUUGGGCCGCAUCCGGCCCCUGAGCCUUAGUUUGCCUACCCAUGCUCUAUGCCAUCCUAAAAUAUCACCUUUGUGUCUAUACAGUUAUACCUUCAAAUCAUCAAUCACAAACAGCACCUCAUCAGGUAACAAAAAAGUCUAAAAUAUGAAUAAAUACGCUUUGGCAAUUCUAAUGGCAUUGUCAGAACAAAAGGCAAUUCUCUUCCAACAGGCUCUCAAGUGUUAUUUUGUUUUCAAAUUUUCUGCCCCUGUCUAUUAUUUUUUAUUAAAUUUGUAUACCACCCUCCAUACAUAGAAGAGAAGAAGAAGAAGAGUUUGGAUUUGAUAUCCCGCCUUUCACUCCCUUUAAGGAGUCUCAAAGUGGCUAACAUUCUCCUUUCCCUUCCUCCCCCACAACAAACACUCUGUGAGGUGAGUGGGGCUGAGAGACUUCAGAGAAGUGUGACUAGCCCAAGGUCACCCAGCAGCUGCAUGUGGAGGAGCGGAGACGCGAACCCGGUUCACCAGAUUACGAGACUACCGCUCUUAACCACUAUACCACACUUGCUCUCUGGGUGGUUCACACAUAGAUCUCAGGACGGUUCAGCUAGCAAAUCUGAUAAACAGUAUAAAAACAAAUAAUCACCCCCAGAUUAAACCCAAUUGCAAAACUGAAAUAUGAGUAUUUAAAUUACAAAAUUUUUUGCAGCAUUCCACAGCAGCCAUCAGGAACGCUAAUUUAAGCCUGCAAUUAUGAAUCGGUUUGUGGUAUAUUGUUAGAUUGUUGAUCUGACACCUUGUUUGUUGCCUGGAAUUAAUUUGUAAUAGUGGUUUAUAGUGGUUUGAUGUUGCAUGUUGAUGUUGGCAAAACGAUACUUUCAGGGGCCACAGAAAGCUGGAAAUCAGGGCACAGUAACCAAGCAAAUAAAUAAAUGGAGUUAUAGGGAAGUAUAGAACAUGUCUGAGGGGAAAGAGAAGAGUGACAGCAAUAUGAAUAUAACAGUCUCUCCCCUCCCCUGUGAAGAAAACCUCCUAUGCAACCAAUCUGCUAGGCAAUGCAGCUCCCAACUUCCCAGAAAUUAUUAUUAUUAUUUAACAAAACAGGACUGUUGCUUUCACCUACCAAUCUCUGCCUCUGAAACAGGCAUACCAUUAAGCUAUAUGAGCAGUUCUGAAGCACAUAUUUAUGGUGGGGACACUUCCCCAUAAAGACAUGUUGAAACAAAGACUGCACCUGAAUAAAAAAAUGUAUAUGAGACUCUCAGCAAGACUCAAAUGAAAUGCAGUUUCUCAGAGAGGCAUUCUAUUAGUGUCAGGAGAUAAAUACAGCUUUUCCUUAGUGUCUGCUGAGAGGGAACUAAGAGACAGGUGACAAAACAUGACUUUUAAAGUGGUUGUUUUUUUAUUCCCCCUCCCCAUCGCAAACAGCUAUAAAUAAAAUAAUGAGUCAUUAGUAAAAUAACAGUUUGGAGUGGGAAGAAAGGAUCUGCACACGGUAUUUUCAGGCAAAGUUGCUCACAGAGACUCUGUGCCAGGGCACAAGCUAUGUGGGGUUCUGAGAUUCUUAGCCCCAAUCAUCAAUUAAAACUGCAGAGGCUUUCUUCAUGCAAACACACACACACACACACACACACACACACACACACACAGCCCUCACUGCUGUCAAAUUUCAGUUACAUAUGAGCAGCUCUCUUUCGCUUCGCUUCACUGUGGAUAUGUUAAGCUGACAGCAGGUUUCAUCUCUCCCGCCAUGGGAAAGUGGCGAGACUUCAGAAAGCCUGUUUUCACUGAGUCUUUGUACCAGGUAUUCAGCGAUUCAUAGCUAGCCAGAGGAGUCAGCAGAGGACCUGGGGGGUCAGCAAGUGGCAGCCCCAGUGCCACAUUUGCUAAGGCAGGAGCAGGAAAGGAAACUGGUGGGUGUAAGAAUUAGGCUUGCUGGCAGGAUGGUGUGGGUCUUGGCACAUCAGUCCUCUUCAUCCUAAAAGUGACCCUCCAACAACACUGGCUAAUGUUGUUGUUGUUUAGUUGUUUAGUCGUGUCCGACUCUCCGUGACCCCCUGGACCAGAGCAUGCCAGGCACUCCUGUCUUCCACUGCCUCCCGCAGUUUGGUCAAACUCACGUUGGUAGCUUCGAGAACACUGUCCAACCAUCUCGUCCUCUGUCGUCCCCUUCUCCUUGUUCCCUCAAUCUUUCCCACCAUCAGGGUCUUUUCCAGGGAGUCUUCUCUUCUCAUGAGGUGGCCAAAGUAUUGGAGCCUCAGCUUCAGGAUCUGUCCUUCCAGUGAGCACUCAGGGCUGGUUUCCUUCAGAAUGGAUAGGUUUGAUCUUCUUGCAGUCCAUGGGACUCUCAAGAGUCUCCUCCAGCACCAUAAUUCAAAAGCAUCAAUUCUUCUUCAAAAGCAUCAUAAAGCCUUCUUUAUGAUGCAGUCCUCACUUCCAUACAUCACUACUGGGAAAACCAUAGCUUUAACUUUACGGACCUUACUGGCUAAUGACUAACGCUGUAAUCAAAGAUGCUUGUUAGGAAUGGAGAACUUAGCGCCCUUCAGAUACUUUUGAACUCCAUCUUCGAUCAUCCAUGACCACUGGCUAUGCUGGCUUUGUCUGAUGGGAGUUGUAGUUCAACAACAUCUGGAGGGUCACAGGUUACCUAUUCUUGAUGUAGCUGUUAUGAGGGACCCCUGGAGCUUUAAGGUGGUAUUUCUGAGAUCUCUGUAACGCUCAGAAAGGAAAUAUGAAUGCUAAGAAGCUUCAUCUACACAAAUUUAUAGCUGGUAGUGCAAGGGGCCUAGACUAAGGUUACCAGAUUUUUUUCAAUGAAUCUGCGGACACUUUUCAACUUCCUCCUAAAUAGAUGGAUUUUAUCAGGGGACUGAUUUGUAAAUCUGGGAACAGUCCCCGGGAAAAGGGGAUGUCUGGUAACCUUAGCCUAGACCGUUUAGGUGUGUUUCAUGUGUCUUCCCUGAAUUUUCAGCUUUCAUUUAAAAAAUAAACCAGUGGUCAGGGGCACUGUUAGAGGGUGGCUAAGUGGCCUAAGCUCCAGAUCUUUAGCAUACAGCCCAGGAUUCCUGCUCCUUUCCCUCUGUUUAAACCUGGCAUAGGCAAGCUCGGCCCUCCAGAUGUUUUGGGACUACAACUCCCAUCAUCCCUAGCUAACAGGACCAGUGGUGAAAAGUCAAAGUGCGGCUUAUAUUCAGAACCAAGUACUGCACGUCCGCCUCCUGGCACUACCACCCUGAAUGGGGGCGGCCGGCGCCGGCUUGGGGAGGGAAUGCCAGGAGGCGAGCAUGCAGCGCACUCAGAACCAAGCGCCGGCCACCUCCGUUCCCCAUUCAGGGCGGUAGGGCCAGGAGGCAGGCUGCACCCGCAAAUAAGCCUUGAAUUUUUAAGGGUGCAGCUUAUUUGCUGGUGCGUCUUAUAUUCGUGCCAAUAAGGUAGAUAAAAUUAACAUGCACAAAUGUUAUGCAAAUUUGUGAGGUGGAACUGUGCCCUGAGUCUGUUAAGUACCUAGCAAUGCCCCUGAAAUCAAGUCUCUAAUCCAGUGUUCCGACAAAUAAGUGCAAAAGGGCUUAGCUCUUGCUUUUAAUUUUUUUAAAAUUAAAAAUGUCUUUUGGUUUUGUUCAUUGGUUUUAAUCAUGUAAGCCUAUCUGCAUUUAGGGGUUUUUUUCUCUCUCGCUCUUUUCCAUUUGGUUAUGAAUCUUCCAUCCCAGUGUCAUCUUAAACACCCACACACUUACCCGGCUGCAAAAUUUCUGGCUACGAGCCUGCAUGCAUUCCUAAAACGUACUUGGUAUGCUCUGUGUCUGCAUUUCCCUCCUUCCACAAAGGCAGGCUCUGAAAUUUGAAAUGGAGAAAGAAAGAGAAAAAAGAGGGGAAACAGUAUGAAGAAUGUAUUAGCAGGAUCAAUGUCCGCAUUGCUUUGAGCUAAAAGAUCUGGAAGCCCUCUUCACAUCCUGGUGUGUGUGUACCUCAGGUUCCUAAUAGCAGCUGCAGCGCACAGCCUAGCACAUUAAUUCCGAGGCUGCCAUAAAUAGGGCUGUCAGACCUGAAAUAUCACUGAAUUUCAUUAAUCUUGAAAGUGCAUCACCAUCGCUGCUCGGAUAUGGACUACCAGGCUAUAUUCAUUACUUUGAAAACACGGGGGGGGGGAGAAAUAUGGUGGCCCCCCUCAAAGAGUCAGCGGGGAGGGGCUUAACAUGGCACAUGAAACAAGUCUGCCUUGGCCUCAUCUGUGGAGGAGAGGUUUGCAUUGUAUUAUUGUACCAGGGAGGGAGAGGAUUAAGGGACUGAGGGUCAGUAGCUCAGUGAGUAGACUGAGGUGAUUUUUCAGGGGCAGGAAGGGGUCACAGAGAGUUUGAGGCUUUUCAGGCACUAGGAGCAGAUGCUGGAUAGAAAGACAAUGGACUGAGGCCAGCGAAUUCAAGGUGCUAGACGCUGAAAAGAAUACCAAUAUGACUCUGGGUGGAUCGAGUUGCUAAACAGCAAGCUGCUUAAAAACAGGUGGAUUUUGAAUAAGUGCAGGAUACAGGAAGCAAUUUUAAAAAAAUAAUAGAAAGGAGAGGGAAAUUGGGAGAUUCCACUACUGAUCUUUGUUUCUGCUAAGGAAAGUGAGCUGAUCGUAAUCUGCGUGUUUAUUAUAAACUUGACACUCAGUGCCUCCCUGAAUUAUUCAGUAGGAGCUGUGAUCUCAAUUACAGGGUAUAUCCCAGAGGUACAAAGAGAAGGGAAUAUUUGGGACCAUUCGAACUCUUUGAUGCAGCAUUUGAAAAGGCUGUGACAGAUGGGCACUUGCAUCCCCUGUAAUCAAACCGGUCCUUAACAGAGGAGCAGAGCGGAUGAACAGGUCCAGCACUCCAGCACGCUGCUUGAUGUUCUGACCUGGCUGGUGUAAUCUCAGUUUGCAUAGCACCCCAGUAUGAAUGAAAAGGGACGUGGGUGGCGCUGUGGUCUAAACCACAGAGCCUAGGGCUUGCCAAUCGGAAGGUCAGUGUUCCGAAUCCCCGUGACGGGGUGAGCUCCCAUUGUUUGGUCCCAGCUCCUGCCAACCUAGCAGUUCGAAAGCAUGUCAAGUGCAAGUAGAUAAAUAGGUACCACUCUGGCGGGAAGGUAAACGGCGUUUCCGUGCGCUGCUCUGGUUCGCCAGAAGUGGCUUAGUCAUGCUGGCCACAUGACUCAGAAGCAGUAUUUAUUGGCCCUUGGCCAAUAAAGCGAGAUGAGAGCUGCAACCCGAGAGUCGGCCACGACUGGGCCUAACAGUCAGGGGUACCUUUACCAGUAUGAAUGAGAACCUGGAAAGAGGGUGCAGAGAAAGGAAGGAGCAAGUAACAUUGCUCCACUAUAGUGUCAUAAGGCAAUCAAGCAAAUAGGAAUCAGAAGAAACCUAAGGACAAGAUUUGUAUGGAUCAAUAUUUGCUUUCAAGCAGCUCUUGUUGUCAGUAUACACUUGCUAUAGCACACUCAGAAGAACCAGACAUGCAGUUUUUCCUCUUUCCUCCCUACACAUGCUUGGGGUAGUAGGGUGGUGGUCUUAAAGUGCCACAAUAUGUUUUGUUGUUUAUGCUGCAGUAGACUAACACAGUUAAAGGUAAAGGUAAAGGGACCCCUGACCAUACGUUUCAGUCGUGGCCGACUCUGGGGUUGCGGCACUCAUCUCAAUUUAUUGGCUGAGGGAGCCGGCGUACAGCUUCCGGGUCAUGUGGCCAGCAUGACUAAGCUGCUUCUGGCGAACCAGAGCAGCGCAUGGAAACGCCGUUUACCUUCCCGCUGGAGCGGUACCUAUUUAUCUACUUGCACUUUGCCGUGCUUUCGAACUGCUAGGUUGGCACAGUUACCCCUCUGGAAUUUAAGAAACAUUAGCAUUAUUUUGUCAAACACUAUGACUGCUCAUUCACAUUGGUAAACCAGGCAGAUUCCCAGCUAUUGGUAAAGUAGUGUGCACUACAGCGUUAUUAACUAUUAUGCCAUGCAUUUGAUUUGUGAUGCAUUACCAAAAUGUUUCAGAAUCCACCAUGAAUCUUGAAGGACAUAGAUAGGGAAGCCAACUUCUUGGAUACUAGCUCUAGUCCAAAAAACCAUGUACCAUUACUACUUCAUAUUGACAAUAAACUUUGCUAUUUAUAUUGUCUUUGGCAGGUGGCAUGGUCUACCACUUUGAUGGCAUCUGGAACACUUCAUCCAGUUGUGGGAUGUAAUCCACUGGGAGCAGUCAAGUACAACAUUCCUUGUCUUGCUAGAGUGGCCAUGCAAGGGAAUGUUUGGUCCAGCCGGUCGAACUUCCUGUUCCUCCUGGCCUGGAGCAUCCUUCCUUGCAUGUGACUAGUAGGUGGGCGUGACCUUACCUGAUCUAACAAAAAGUCCAGUCACACUGCCACCAUCUUCUCUUUGAUCUUCCUUUUCGUCCUGUGAACUUCCUGCACUGCUGGCUGCCAGCCAAGCAGUUUCCCUAGGUUAUCUUCCAUGUUGUUGUUGUUGUUUAGUCGUUUGGUCGUGUCCGCCUCUUCGUGACCCCAUGGACCAGAGCACGCCAGGCACUUCUGUCUUCCACUGCCUCCCGCAGUUUGGUCAAACUCAUGCUGGUAGCUUCGAGAACACUAUCCAACCAUCUCAUCCUCUGCCGUCCCCUUCUCCUUGUGCCCUCCAUCUCCCCCAACAUCAGGGUCUUUUCCAGGGAGUCUUCUCUUCUCAUGAGGUGGCCAAAGUAUUGGAGCCUCAGCUUCAGGAUCUGUCCUUCCGGUGAGCACUCAGGGCUGAUUUCCUUCAGAAUGGAGAGGUUUGAUCUUCUUGCAGUCCAUGGGACUCUCAAGAGUCUCCUCCAGCAUCUCCCAUACAUAUUUGUAAUUUUAAGCCUAAAGCCUGCCUUCAGGGAUCACACUGUGCUCUGCCUGAUCGUGAGUAAAACUACUUUUUGUUACUUAUGAAUAAGACUGUGGUGUCUUUAUUCUUUUAGGAGGGAUUUACAAGGGGUCUUUACCAGGAACAUAUUAGAACACAUUUCAAUCUGGACAAGCCAUUGUACCAUUAGGCAAAGUGAGGCAGUUGCCUCAGGUGGCAAAUACUGGAGGCGGCAACAGCUCCCACAGCUGUUGUUUCUGAGCCCCCACCCUAACAUUCCCCUUCAUUGGAGUUCUUUUAGGAGGGCCAUACACUCUGUUUUGCGCCCUCUAAACUAGCCUGCUGCCCUCAGAACUACCAGUCAGUUUGGUUUCUGUGCAUGGAAUGUACAGGCAUCAAAAUGUCUUGUGCUGAUUCUGAAAGUAACUGCCCUUUUUUUGGGGUGAUAGAAAGUAGAAUUCAGGCACAUCCCAAUUGUGAAAUUAAUUGCUACUUUUGAGAACUUAUCUUUCAGAUGUUUAUGUAAUACUCUUUUAAAACUCUGAUCUUCUAAACCAUUUUUAAAUCAUUUUAAUUGGGUUUUAAAAGAAUUUAACAGAAUUAAGGAAGAAAAUGGGGUUGUCAUUCAAUGUAAGCAGUGCAGCAUGUUUAAACUAGCAAAUCCCUCAUUGUGACACACUCUGAUAAAAUGUAGGCUGUGUAGUGUGACUGGAUUGUGAAUAUCUGAACAAUAGAAAAAUACGUUUCUCUAAAGUGGAUUGCUUGUAUCAUAAUGGAUAAAGAGAUCAGAAAGAAGGGAGAGAGGGAAAUCUGAAAAUGUAAUGGACUGAUACUGCAUAUGAAGAAAAGAUUAGUAAAUUCUGAAUGCUUAACUCAGCCUUUGCCAACCUGGUGCCCUUCAGAUAUUUAAGUCUACAGCUCCCAUCAGCCCCAGCCAGUCAGAGUUAUAUUCAAAAACAUUUGGAAGAAGAAGAAGAGGAAGAGGAGGAGGAGAAGAAGAAGGAGGAGUUUGGACUUGAUAUCCCGCCUUUCACUCCCUUUAAGGAGUCUCAAAGCAGCUAACAAUCUCCUUUCCCUUCCUCCCCCACAACAGGGAAUCGAUCCCGGUUCACCAGAUUACAAGUCCACCGCUCUUAACCACUGCACCACGCUGGCGGAGGACACCAGACUGAUGAGAGGUUGGUUUCACUAAUAGAGAGUUGCAGGGAAAAUAAUAAUUAAAUUAUAUCUGAUUGCAAUUCUUGCAUCACAUUGCUCCUCUGGCAGCACAUUUAAGAACUGGGAACUGGAAAGUGACCCUAUACAUCGAAUGAAGUAAAGAUUCUAAUCAAUCGUGUGUUUUGCCUGCAUGCCACAGUAGCUUAAUUCAUUCAGAAGAUGGGGAAGGAGAAAUAAUCAUACAUUUCUAAAGAUUAUAUGUUUAUUAUAUAAAGAAUGCCUUGCUUUUCUUUAUAACAUAAAUUCUAAAGUCAUCUUGAUAUCAAUUUUUAACUGUGUUUAAAAGCUAUUGUUUGUUUAAGAGUUGUAUACCCCACCUUCCUCCCAAAGGCCUCCAGUCCUUCAAGGGUGCCUUUGGUGUAAUAUGGCCUCUACAUUUCUGCCCCCACUUGUCAUUGCUAUGUAAAGGUAAAGGUAAAGGUACCCCUGCCCGUACGGGCCAGUCGUGACCGACUCUAGGGUUUGCGCGCUCAUCUCGCUCUAGAGGCCAGGAGCCGGCGCUGUCCGAAGACACUUCUGGGUCACGUGGGCAGCGUGACGAAGCUGCACUGGCGAGCCAGCACCAGCGCCGCGCACGGAAACGCCGUUUACCUUCCCGCUAAGUAAGCGGUCCCUAUUUAUCUACUUGCACUUGGGGGUGCUUUCGAACUGCUAGGUGGGCAGGAGCUGGGACCGAACGGCGGGAGCUCACCCCGCCGCGGGGAUUCGAACCGCCGACCUUACGAUCAGCAAGUCCUAGGCACUGAGGUUUUACCCACAGCGCCACCCGCGUCCCCAUUGCUAUGUACCUACCAUCAAACAUAGUGGCUUAAACAAGUGCAAUAAGUAGAGGGUUAUGGAUAAAACAAACUCAUGUUAAGCACCUAAACCAGGGAUAGGGAGCCUAUGGCCCUCCAGAUUUCAUUGGACUACAACCCCUCCACCCCCCACAGACACGAUCAUUGACCAUGGUGGCUGGGCUGAUGAGCACUGGAGCCCCAACAAUCAGGGCCAUUUUAAGCAUAUCCGGCGCAGUGGUGCAAAGAUCCCUCCAGUGCGCCCCUCCCAUUUCCCAGAGUUGUCAACCUUUUCCCAAGCCGCUGCGGGGAUCGCUCUCCUUCCGCAGAGGCUUGGGAGGCAAGCUGCACGCCCGCCAGCCAUAUGGUUGACAGGGCGCAGCUGGUGGGCGUGCAGGAGGGAAAGGGGGGCCGCCGGCAAAGCCGCGCAGCUCCCCCACUUGCUGGGGCGCCCCUGAGAGGCCAGCGCCCUGGCGUAACGCACCAGUAAGCCCAACAGGAAGGACGGCUCUGCCAACAGUACUUAGAGAGCAGCAGCUUCCCCAUCUCUAAUCUAAACACAGAGGCCACAUGGAGCCUUCCAACAUGCCCUCCAUACUUGUUUUGUUUACUCCUCAUGCAGCCCUGUAUAAUAAUAAUAAUAAGAAUAAGAAUAAUUUUAUUUGUACCCCAUCCAUCUGGCUGUGUUUCCCCAGCCACUUUGGGCGGCUUCUAACAAAGACCCAAAAUACACUAAAAUGUCACACAUUAAAAACUUCCCUGAACAGGGCUGCCUUCACUGCCUUCAGAUGUCUUCUGAAUGUCAGGUAGUUGUUUAUCUCUUUGACAUCUGAUGGGAGGGCGUUCCACAGGUCGGGCGCCACUACCGAGAAGGCCCUCUGCCUGGUUCCCUGUAACUUGGCUUCUCGCAGCAAGGGAACUGCCAGGAGGCCCUCAGAGCUGGACCUCAGUGUCCGGGCAGAACAAUGGAGGUGGAGAUGCUCCUUCAGGUAUACUGGGCCGAGGCCGUUUAGGGCUUUAAAGGUCAACACCGACACUUUGAAUUGUAUAGGGAAGCUUUCUAAGGUUUACUGUUUUUCUGUGUUUUUAAUAUAUGCUGGAAGCUGCCCAGAGUAGCUUGGGCAACCCAGUCAGCUGGGCGAGGUACAAAUUACUGUUUUUAUUAUUAUUUAGUACUGUAGUCAGAGUGGAAGAGCAGAUCUCGGUUGUCUUCCAGUUCUGCUGAACCAACAAUGUUCUCCCUGCUCCUCAGUAAGGCAGGAGCCUCUCUGCCAAGAAGAGGAAAGGAUGGGCCUUCAUAAUGCGUGUUCAUGAUCUCUUCCUCUAUCUCCCCCACCUACUUCCCCACAUUCUCUUCCACCACACUGUGGUACAGCCUCAAGAAAUGGAACCCAAGUUAGGGGUACGUACACGAAGGGGAGGAACUAUGAAGAGAUUGCCUGGCUCAGUUCCAUAUGAGGCAAAAGUGGACUCUCACUCCAAAUACUGGAGUCACCAGGGACAGAAUAUAAACUUCGUUCCCACCCCUGUGGUCUCCCUGAAUACUAAACCCUUUAACACUCUCCUUUAUAGCUGCUUCUUAUGGGGUGGUGGGAAUAGUGCUGUACUUGGGGGCAAAAAGUGCUUAGUAAUUAUGACAGUGAAUGCCUCAGCCUCCAUUAACUCGAUGGAGGGAUGGGCAAUGCAUUGUGUGUUUGGUACACAGAAAUGCCUUGUACAUGCAUAUACAGUGGUACCUCGGGUUAAGUACUUAAUUCGUUCCGGAGGUCCGUACUUAACCUGAAACUGUUCUUAACUUGAAGCACCACUUUAGCUAACGGGGCCUCCUGCUGCUGCCGCGCCGCCGGAGCAGGAUUUCUGUUCUCAUCCUGAAGCAAAGUUCUUAACCUGAAGCACUAUUUCUGGGUUAGCGGAGUCUGUAACCUGAAGCAUAUGUAACCUGAAGCGUAUGUAACCCGAGGUACCACUGUACACAUUCCAGGGUUUCCCUGCAGUAUACACAUUACUGUCUCAGGGCAAAUCUAAACAAAUGAAAACUGAAAAUUGGGAAACACUGGCCUGCAAGCACUCCAGUUGGAGAACAGCCUUUACCAAAGGUGUCAUGGGCUUUGAAGACACUCGAACUCAGGAUCCAAAGGGAAAACGUGCUAAGAGGAAGGCCAGCUUGGCAAAUCCACACCGUGACCAGCUCCCGCCCGGGAAUCAAUGUCCCCACUGUGGAAGGACGUGUGGAUCCAGAAUUGACCUCCACAGUCACUUACGGACUCAUUGUUAAAACCGUGUUUAUGGAAGACAAUCUUACUCGGCUACGAGGGAUCGCCAAAGAAAGAAGAAGACUUCUAACCACAAACACCACUCAUCACAAUGAUAGACAGUUUGCACCUUAGCAGUAAUGUCUUGCCUUAGUCUUAGGCUUUCAGCAGCUGGACUCAUCUGUGUGCUCAGCAGGACCCCGCGUGCACAGCAUCCGUCUGAUGGGCAGCUGGUUCAGAGCUGCUGAUUUCCGGCAAUGCUUUUCAAUCCCACCCAUGCACACAGAAUGCAUACUUUCAGACUUUCUCCACCAUCUGGUUGAGACCCCUGCAUCCGAGAGUGGAGCUGUCUAUAGAAUUCUAUUCCUGGGAAUUCACAGGGGGAAGAUUCCAUUUUUGCAGCGUCCUCUCUGCUUCAUGCAAGCAGAAAGAUCACUGCGGCUUGUUUUUCAGACGAUGCCUACGGAAAUGAAUUUACUGCAUGGCUAUGAAGUGUGUGCAAACUGGUAGUUUACUUUCAGAAUGCUGUUGAGCCCUUCCAUCUGAUACUUGAGAUAGCCUGCUCAGUUUAAAAAGAGGAACAGGUUUAUAACCCUCUGUGCUGUGGAAAGAGGUGAAGGAGGUAAUACAAUGGUCUAGUCAGGCAAAUCAUUGACUAUGCAAAAGCCUUUGACUGUGUCGACCACAGCAAACUAUGGCAAGUUCUUAAAGAAAUGGGAGUGCCUGAUCACCUCAUCUGUCUCCUGAGAAAUCUCUAUGUGGGACAAGAAGCUACAGUUAGAACUGGUUAUGGAACAACUGAUUGGUUCAAAAUUGGGAAAGGAGUACGACAAGGCUGUAUAUUGUCUCCCUGCUUAUUUAACUUAUAUGCAGAAUUCAUCAUGCGAAAGGCUGGGCUGGAUGAAUCCGAAGCCGGAAUUAAGAUAGCCGGAAGAAAUAUCAACAACCUCAGAUAUGCAGAUGAUACAACCUUGAUGGCAGAAAGUGAGGAGGAAUUAAAGAACCUUUUAUUGAGGGUGAAAGAGGAGAGCGCAAAAUAUGGUCUGAAGCUCAACAUCAAAAACGAAGAUCAUGGCCACUGGUCCCAUCACCUCCUGGCAAAUAGAAGGGGAAGAAAUGGAGGCAGUAAGAGAUUUUACUUUCUUGGGCUCCAUGAUCACUGCAGAUGGUGACAGCAGUCACGAAAUUAAAAGAUGCCUGCUUCUUGGGAGAAAAGCAAUGACAAACCUAGACAGCAUCCUAAAAAGUAGAAACAUCACCUUGCCAACAAAGGUCCGUAUAGUAAAAGCUAUGGUUUUCCCAGUAGUGAUGUAUGGAAGUGAGAGCUGGACCAUAAAGAAGGCUGAUUGCCAAAGAAUUGAUGCUUUUGAAUUAUGGUGCUGGAGGAGACUCUUGAGAGUCCCAUGGACUGCAAGAAGAUCAAACCCAUCCAUUCUUAAGGAAAUCAGCCCUGAGUGCUCACUGGAAGGACAGAUCGUAAAGUUGAGGCUCCAAUACUUUGGUCACCUCAUGAGAAGAGAAGACUCCCUGGAAAAGACCCUGAUGUUGGGAAAGAUGGAGGGCACAAGGAGAAGGGGACGACAGAGGAUGAGAUGGUUGGAUGGUAUUCUCGAAGCUACCAGCAUGAGUUUGUCCAAACUGCGGGAGGCAGUGGAGGACAGAAGUGCCUGGCGUGCUCUGGUCCAUGGGGUCACGAAGAGUCGGACACAACUAAAUGACUAAACAACAACAACAAAGUCAGGCAAAGGGACUUUGUUUUUCAGAAUGGUGUUCCCUCUCUGUAAGCUCCUUGUCUCAGUUCCUCUGCUGUUCCUCAAAGUAGACUAGUGAUAGGAAAAAACAGGUACCUUAUUUGAUGCCUUAUCUACUCCCUGCUAGCUCAAAGGGUGAGAUGUCUUGGGGGGGGGGGGUUCUUGAUUGCACAAUUGCAUAAAUUAACAAAAACAAAAGUGGAGCCCUGCUGGAUCACACCCAUCUAGUCCAGGAUUGUGUUCCCCACAGUGGUCAACUUGAUGCCUGUGGGAAAGUAGUGCAAUGAUGUAGUUUUUAGAAUCUGGAUAUAAUGGGGUUCCAGGGAGGCCAGUCUUUAGCUAGUGGUGUGUUUUAUUUCAUAAUGUGGUAUGCCAGCCCUGGGGUAUUUGGGGUUCUUCCUGCUCAUUCUGCUGCGAGGGACUCCAGACUUCUGUCCUAGAGUCCUGCCCUGAUGUCACCACCGAUGGGACACCCCUAAGCACAGUUGCAUUCUCCAGCUCGUAUUCCCCCAAAACUGGUAUUCAGGUGCAUGGUGCUUCUGAUUUUAGAAGUAGUAUGCAGGCAUCAUAACAUAACCAUUGGUAGGCUUAUCUUCCAUGAAUCCGACUAAUCUCCCCUUAAAGCCAUCCAUAAGUUGGUGGUCAUCCAUACAGCUUGUGAUAAACCCUGCUAGUCCCCUAUUAUGAAGGUACUGACCCAAAUUUACAGGAUUCUUGUUGGAAUUAUGGAAGCAUUGUAUGUGAUGUGCUUUAACACCCCCCAAAUCCCUAUAAAUAGGAUAAGGGGCAAACUAUAAGUAGGGAUUGGUGUAGUUACAGAUAGGUCUGCCAUAGUCGAAACAAAAUAAAAAAAAUCCUCCCAGUAGCGCCUUAGAGACCAACUAAGUUUGUUAUAGUACAGUGGUACCUUGGGUUACAUACGCUUCAGGUUACACACUCCGCUAACCCAGAAAUAGUGCUUCAGGUUAAGAACUUUGCCUCAGGAUGAGAACAGAAAUCGGGCUCCCGCGGCACAGCAGCAGGAGGAGGCCCCAUUAGCUAAAGUGGUGCUUCAGGUUGAGAAAAGUUUCAGGUUAAGAACGGGCCUCCGGAACGGAUUAAGUACUUAACCCAAUGUACCACUGUAUAGUUAAAGCUAUGGUUUUCCCAGUAGUGAUGUAUGGAAGUGAGAGCCAGAUCAUCAAGAAGGCUGAUCGCCGAAGAAUUGAUGCUUUUGAAUUCUGGUGCUGGAGGAGACUCUUGAGAGUCCCAUGGACUGCAAGAAGAUCAAACCUCUCCAUUCUGAAGGAAAUCAGCCCUGAGUGCUCACUGGAAGGACAGAUCCUGAAGCUGAGGCUCCAAGACUUUGGCCACCUCAUGAGAAGAGAAGACUCCCUCGAAAAGACCCUGAUGUUGGGAAAGAUGGAGGACACAAGGAGAAGGGGACGACAGAGGACGAGAUGGUUAGACAGUGUUCUCGAAGCUACCAGCAUGAGUUUGACCAAACUGCGGGAGGCAGUGGAAGACAGGAGUGCCUGGCGUGCUCUGGUCCAUGGGGUCACGAAGAGUUGGACACGACUAAACGACUAAACAACAACAACAACAAGUUUGUUAUUGGUAUGAGAUUUUGUGUGCAUGCACACUUCUUCAGAUCUCAUACCAACAACAAACUUAGUUGGUCUCUAAGGUGCUACUGGAAGGAUUUUUUUUUUUUGCUUAGGGAUUGGUGUGUGAGACAAAAGGAUAAAUGUGUCACACCACCAUGAAUGUACACCGAGCACCACGAUGGCAGGCAUCCUAUUAGUUAAUCUAAUGGAAUAGCUACAAAAAUGGCGAUUGCAUGAGUAAAAUGAUUUUAUGAACUGCCUCUUAGAAAGGGGUCAGAAUGGGGAAGGAGAGCCAAGGAGGCUGCUGACUACAAAGUAAUGUCCACAGAGCCUAAAGAUUUUUGUAAACUGGUGGAAAAUGGGGAGGUGUUAAUAUCCAAACCAGUUGUUGUUGUGGAGUUCAUUUUCUGCUUCUUAAAAUCAGAAGGCUACAUAUUCAUCAGCUGUAGAACAUGCUUAGCUGUCCUUCUGCACAACCCAGGACUUGGCUUAGACGUGUGCAGUUUCUCAUAAACCCUUCCCCCCCUCUCCCUUGCCUGGCCCCAGGAAGUAACUGAGAUGUCUGUAUAUCUCACAUGGCUCACUUUGUGAUUGAAUAGCUCAAGUCAUUUGCAUGGCCUGUGCAGCUGUCCCGGGCAGCUGUGAGCCCUUUGUGAUAGCAUGUGUGUCCGACACACUUGCAAAUCAAUAAGAGGGUGGGGGGAGUUCAAUAAGAGAAAAAGGAGAGUGGGGGAGGAAGUGACAGUUUCUGUAGUGUAGGAUAAUACACUGAUAAUUUUUUUAAAGUAAUUUUUAAACUUCUGCCACUGAUAAAUCUCUGUAUGCAAAGGACGAUUCUGGGGUGCAUUUUAGGCUGCUCACUCAAGUUCACGUCGUAGUCUAUUGCGUUUUCUCACUUUGACCCUGUGCAAACUUUGGCUGACUCCUACAGAUUGAGACCACUAAUUUAUAUUGGGUUGUUAAAUAUUCCCUCACUGCCUGCUUGGUGAGAAGUGGAUCAUGGGAGACUUUACCGGGGUCUUUCUGGAAUAUUUAUUUUAAAAUGUACCAACAGAGUGUAAAGGUAAAGGGAUCCCUGACCAUUAGGUCCAGUCGUGACCAACUCUGAGGUUGCGGCGCUCAUCUCACUUUACUGGCCGAGGGAGCCGGCAUACAGCUUCCGGGUCAUGUGGACAGCAUGACUAAGCCGCUUCUGGCGAACCAGAGCAGCGCUCGGAAACGCCGUUUACCUUCCUGCCAGAGCGGUACCUAUUUAUCUACUUGCACUUUAACAUGCUUUCAAACUGCUAGGUGGGCAGGAGCAGGAACUGAGCAACGGGAGCUCACCCCGUCGCAGGGAUUUGAACCGCCAACCUUCUGAUCGGCAAGCCCUAGGCUCUGUGGUUUAACCCACAGCACCACCUGCAUAAGUGGAGGCAAACAAGCAUCCAAGCAAGGCAGCCUAUCUGUUCCUUCACAGGAUCAGAUUGCCAGGGAAAGGCAUUGAACCUGCCUUCAAUCAACCCAUCAGUCACCUUCCCCACUGCAGAUAAAUUGCUCAUUCAAGGGACCAUCCACACCCAUUAAGAAACAUUAACACUGUUUUGUCAAAUCCCACUCUAGUUAGGUGCGACCAGGGUGCUGUAGUCAUAAGCAAUGGGGCCACAAACGUAUGACAUCUUGGCUUAUCCCCAAAUAAUCUUGGGACCUGUAGUUUGGUGAGAGUGCUGAGAAUUCAGUUAGAGCUCCCUUGGCUCCAGCACUAGCACCAAACCACUCCCUGGGGUUCUUUGAGAAGAGGGUACAAAUAUUAAACCAGUUUUAAGUUGGUGCCUCUAUAUUUGUGUCCAUCAUACAUUUGCAGCAGUGCCUUUCAGGGGAUUCUGGUCAAGCUGCGUUUCAAAAAAGUCUUCCACGGCUGAUUUUUUAAAUGUAGAAAUUGAAGGGUCCCUGGUUGCAGUUUGAAAACCACUUACUUAAAUGAUGCGGUCAUAUGAAAUUGUGAAGCAAACACACUCUAUUUAAACAAUUCAGUGGGGUUAUGAUGCUAGCCAUGCUGCAAUGGUAAGGAUUUCUUUUAAAAAAUAUCAUUUUGUGAAAACAAAUUAUUCAACUAAGAUGUUGCAGACAGUGAAAUGUUUAGUAUGCUCCAGAGUCAUCUGGAUGAGAGAGUACUGGAGUUCUUUUUGUAACAUACAGUGGUACCUUGGUUCUCAAACGCCUUGGUACUUAAACAACUUGGAACCAAAACACUGCAAACCCGGAAGUAAGUGUUCUGGUUUGCGAACUUUUUUCGGAAGCCGAACGUGCUCCGUUUUGAGUGUUGCACUUCCAGUUUGAGUGCCACACUUCCAUUUUGAGUGUUCCACUGAGGUCUGCCUGUUUUUGCUAUUUAUUUUGAGUUUUUGUCUUUGCGGCUCUUUUGUUUUUGUGACUGUGUGGAACCCAGUUCAGCUACUGAUUGAUUGUGUGACGGCAGUACAUUAAUUAUUGCUUUCAUUUUAUGGAUCAAUGGUCUCGUUAGAUAGUAAAAUUCAUGUUAAACUGCUGUUUUAGGGGUUGUUUUUAAAAGUCUGGAACAGAUUAAUCCACUUUGCAUUACUUUCUAUAGGAAAGCAUGCCUUGGUUUUGGAACGCUUUGGUUUUGGAAGAGACUUCCGGAACAGAUUAAGUUUUAGAACCAAGGUACCACUGUACUGUUUAUUUAGUAGCAAGCAAGCAAGCAAGCGCACAUGUAAUAAUUGUCCUAAAGCAACGUCUUCUGUGAUCCUGAAAUGCUGUUUCAUAAGUUAGAAAUCUCAUGGCAGUCUUUCUUAGCUAGAUUCAAAAUUUAAGUGGGUUUCUUGUUCUCUGACAUGCAAUUGUAUGCACCAGGGGUGCCAACUUGAAUAAAAUAUUGGGGGAAGACCAGGUAAACCCUGGCCAGCAUAAUUGAUCAUAUGACAUGGUGCACACACACCAUUCCCCCCCCCCAUAAUGAUAAUUUUAUUAUUUAUACCCCACACAUCUUACUGGGUUGCCCCAUGCACACACACCAUUUGAAUGGCAAUGCCCAUCAACUUUUGGGGGCCUAGCCCCCUCAAAUAUUUUAUUGUGGGGGCCAAAGACCCCUCAGCUCCUAUGCUAUGCAUAUUUACUCAGAAGUUGCACUGCGUUCAGUGGAGCUUACUCCACCUAGGAUUGCAGUUUGACCUCAAAAGUGCACAAAUCAUCCUUUUCACCUCCUUGUCAACCAAGCAGGUGGGUGUUACACAUUUAGACACAGAAGCCCAUUAAUUAGGGUCCAACAUCGACUGCUGAACUAGAUACGGAAUUGAGGAGGACAUUUUUCUCAGCUGGUCUAUGUUCUGCAACAAUAUCCCGAUAAAACUGUAGCCUUAUAAUUAAUAUUCUAACCUGGUUGGCAAAUCUGAGAUACACUUUUUCAUUAAUAAUGGACUGUCAUUUUGUCUAAUUCCACUAAGGAUGCUUCUAGAUGGGGGCCUUAUACAGUGGUACCUCGGGUUACAUACGCUUCAGGUUACAGACGCUUCAGGUUACAGACUUCGCUAACCCAGAAAUAGUACCUCGGGUUAAGAACUUUGCUUCAGGAUGAGAACAGAAAUCAUGCUCCGACGGCGUGGUGGCAGCUGGAGGCCCCAUUAGCUAAAGUGGUACCUCAGGUUAAGAACAGUUUCAGGUUAAGAACGGACCUGCGGAACGAAUUAAGUACUUAACCGGAGGUACCACUGUAGUGCCAACAGGUCUUUGAGAUCUACAAAUAAUUGGACGAGAUGACCCUAUGGGUCCCUUCCAACUGUAUAAUUUUAAUAAACAUCUAUCCUCGUAACUUUUUUGGCACACAGGACCCAAUAAUGCCGGACCCCAAAUCUAACAUCACAAGUGGCAAAGGUAAUAAAACGCUAGAUGAACAUUUCAGUCUAUGCCACUGAUUUUAAGAUUGCCAUAAUUGAGCGAAGGACUGUCAAAGGAUGCCUCUGUUAUGAAACUGCUGGAUUAAAAUUUGUAAAGGAGUUCCACUCGGUUCAUCUGGAUAUGAAUAGAGACAAUGCUUUCCUUUUCUAGUACAGAUGUUAAUUAGCUUAGCACGGCCAUGUUGUUUUAUCACCUAUUACUGCUGUUGUAAAGAGUUGCUGUGAUUGUUUUGCAAGCGGCUCUAGCAGAAUUGGCACGAUCUUGCAUUUAUUUCUUUUCUCCGUGAUUUUGCUGCUUACAACUCUCUGCCCACCCUACAUCUUACAAUCAUGUGCAUAACUGAUUACUGAUGAAGCAGAUUCUAGAACUUGAAAGCAUGUACCAUUAUAAGAUAUGUUACUGACUCUAAAGUGUCCCUGAAACUUAUUUUUUAAAAUAGCAAUCUUUUAGCAUUCUUGAAGAAGGAAAAGAAAUUUGCCCAUCUCUGAAGUGCACCCAAAACCAGUCUGACCAGAGCAAGUGGGAUAAAAUACUUUCAAAUACAGGCAUGUGUUUGUAGCAGUGUGCCAUCAAAGAGCCCUUCACCCUGGAAGGCAAGUAGGAAACAGUGCUUAAGCUAUCAUUCUGUGAAGGUCCCUAUCUAUAAUGUAAUAGGACUACUAUUGUGCUGUCACCUGUAGAGAUGACCUUCUCUCUAGGGAUUUGUUUUGUUAAUAGCUAAAGAUGCUGCCUCAAUGGGCAUUGAUGACUAAUAGCUGCUUGCUUGAAUGAGCAUUGAUGAUGGCUUUUGAUGGCUCCUUGUCACUGCUGCUGAGCGCCUCCUAGUUGUUUCAAAGAGGGCGGAGGGAAACAGUUUUGUAGAUGAAAGACAGAAGUUGUGUUUUUAUAGAGAAGAAGCAGAGAAGUGGGGCUGUAAGAGCAUGCUGUUUCCUUUGGGGGGAACCGAAGGUGCCUUAAAGGCACACUGAAUGCUUGCCUGCUCCUCUGGCUCAGUGUGUGAAGUAAAAAAAAGAGAGAAGCUUAUAAAAUGCACCAUAUGUUUCCAGGCCUCUUUAAAAAAUGUAUUUAUUAACUGACUUUCAAGAAUCAAUGUUCAUAAAGAAACAAUAAUUAAACUAGUGCAUCCUUCCUUCCAAUUCCUCCCCCUCUUCUCUCUUUGAGUGUCUGGAUUCCUCAUUACCUUCAUUAAGGUAAGUUUAAAUUCCAUACUUGUCUGGAUGUAUGCCUAGUGUAACAUCAGUUAUGCUAUGGUUACCUUAAUAGAGCCACUCAUAAUUUUCUGUGUGUUACCUACCAGUGUGACCUUUGUCCUUUCACUGUUUCAAAUAUACUUGAUGAAGUGGCGCAUUGUUCAACAAAAUCAUUGGGAUCUGUGUUGUUGUUCUUUGCUUUUAGCCAUGGGUAGGCAAAUUAGGGACGCGGGUGGCGCUGUGGGUAAAACCUCAGCACCUAGGACUUGCCGAUCGCAUGGUCGGUGGUUCAAAUCCCCGUGACGGGGUGAGCUCCCGUCGUUCGGUCCCAGCGCCUGCCAACCUAGCAGUUCGAAAGCACCCCCGGGUGCAAGUAGAUAAAUAGGGACCGCUUACCAGCGGGAAGGUAAACGGCGUUCCGUGUGCUGCGCUGGCUCGCCAGAUGCAGCUUGUCACGCUGGCCACGUGACCCGGAAGUGUCUGCGGACAGCGCUGGCUCCCGGCCUACAGAGUGAGAUGAGCGCACAACCCUAGAGUCUGUCAUGACUGGCCUGUACGGGCAGGGGUACCUUUACCUUUACCUAGGCAAAUUAAGGCCUGGGGGCCAGAUCCGGCCCAAUCGCCUUCUAAAUCCGGCCCACAGACGGUCCAGGAAUCAGCAUGUUUUUACAUGAGUAGAAUGCGUCCUUUUAUUUAAAAUGCAUCUCUGGGUUAUUUGUGGGGCAUAAGAAUUCGUUCAUUUUUUUCUCUCUUCAAAAUAUAGUCCAGCCCCCGACAAGGUCUGAGGGACAGUGGACCAGCCCACUGCUGAAAAAGUUUGCUGACCCCUGCAGCUGUUUCAUUGUUGUUGUUUAGUCAUUUAGUCGUGUCCGACUCUUCGUGACCCCAUGGACCAGAGCACGCCAGGCACUUCUGUCUUCCACUGCCUCCCACAGUUUGGUCAAACUCAUGCUGGUAGCUUCAAGAACACUGUCCAACCACCUCGUCCUCUGUCGUCCCCUUCUCCUUGUGCCCUCCAUCUUUCCCAACACCAGGGUCUUUUCCAGGGAGUCUUCUCUUCUCAUGAGGUGGCCAAAGUACUGGAGCCUCAGCUUCAGGAUCUGUCCUUCCAGUGAGCACUCAGGGCUGAUUUCCUUAAGAAUGGAUAGGUUUGUUCUUCUUGCAGUCCACGAGUGCCAUUUGGCACACUUUUUGAAGCCAUGUUAGAAGACAACUGAUGGUUUUGCCACCACUACAUGGGUGAGUACCUGGGGCACAGACUGCAAAAGAGAGCUCCAACCACUUGCAGAAAUGGCAAAAGCCAUGUUCCCCACCUCACACCAAAAUUUUGAUGGCCAAAGCACACUUUCUCCUCUGACUAGAUGUUCACUCUUACACCCAAGAAGGUUUAUUUUUAGGUUGUGGAGGAGUGACUCACCUUCAGAAGAGGUCCUUCCCUGUGUGUUUGAGUCACUGUUCUGGAAGGGCCUUUUCAUUGCAAGAAAGGAGGUGUGGAACAGUGACUCAUUCAGGCACACCAGACGGGGAGAUGCUCUUCCAAGGGUAAUUCUGUGGCAUCUCUACAUUGGGAGUGACUGAAUGGUCCAAGCAGACCCACUGCAGAACAAUGGAGGCUGCCUUCAGUCAACUUCCAGCUGUCUGCCUUCUUCCUUACAUCCACUUGCUGGCAGCGUCUUCCUCCAUAGCCUCAGCAUUGCCUUCAGCAAAGAGGAGGAGGAGGGCAAAGCUUGAAUUAGUGGGCUCUGCCUGUCAUUGGCUCUGGCUCCACCUACUGUUGGUCUCUGUGCUGCCUGCCUAAUGGGCACCAGCCACCACUGAUGCAGAGACUUGCUCCCAGCAGAGCCUGGUUAGGAGAGGUGCGUCUCAUGCAGAGUAGCAGUGUGCACUGUGUUCUGUGGAGAAAGGUUCAUUGGGCUCAUGGGAGUCUUUCAUUAAUUACAGACCCCCGCCAAGUGUCCCAGGGACAGUCCCGGAUUUACAGAGCCAUCCCAAUUUCUGAUCUAAUCCCAUAAAGCAGAGACAUCACCUUGCCAACAAAGGUCCGUAUAGUUAAAGCUAUGGUUUUCCCAGUAGUGAUGUAUGGAAGUGAGAGCUGGACCAUAAAGAAGGCUGAUCGCCAAAGAAUUGAAGCUUUUGAAUUCUGGUGCUGGAGGAGACUCUUGAGAGUCCCAUGGACUGCAAGAAGAUCAAACCUCUCCAUUCUGAAGGAAAUCAGCCCUGAGUGCUCACUGGAAGGACAGAUCCUGAAGCUGAGGCUCCAAUACUUUGGCCACCUCAUGAGAAGAGAAGACUCCCUGGAAAAGACCCUGAUGUUGGGAAAGAUGGAGGGCACAAGGAGAAGGGGACGACAGAGGACGAGAUGGUUGGAUAGUGUUCUCGAAGCUACCAGCAUGAGUUUGACCAAACUGCGGGAGGCAGUGGAAGGCAGAAGUCCUGGCGUGCUCUGGUCCAUGGGGUCACAAAGAGUCGGACACGACUAAACAACAACAACAAUCCCAUAAUGUCCCCCCCCUUUAGGAUGUCCCUAUUUUCAUUGGAGAAAUGUUGGGAGGGUAUGUAAUUAUCAUAUAUCUUGCAACACUUCAAAUUCACUUGUAAAUCCUCACGUGAUCAGGCAAAGGGUGAGGUGGGACCAUGCCUUGCCCCUCCCUGACACUAAACAAGCAGUCACAUGUCCAGAAGCACACGGGUAUCAGGUAGGGGUUUGUGUGUGUGUGUGUCCGUGUGAAACAGCAUGUGAGUUCCUGCUUCGCUCUCAUGCAUUCACUGAAUAUUCGGAGAGGUUAAAACACAAUUUCUACUUCCUUGAUUUCCAUAAACCUUCUUUUAUAAACCUUCUUUGGCAGAAAUAGAUAAACUAUUAUUACCAUGCUAGCUUAAUGGCUUUUUCAUAUACCUUCUUUCACCUUCUCAAUACAAAGAAUAAUUUGUUUGCUUUCUAAAUGUGUGUUAGCGGGACAACUUGGGGUGGGGGGGUAUGCGGCAAUUCUUGAGCAGGCAAUUCAGAAUAAUCAAUGAAGCUCUUUCAGGCUCAAGGUACAAUCUUAAGUGUAAUGGUAUUUUUCCACCCUAAACUGAGAAAUGUGCUUCAGGCCUGCGCACUUAGCAGUCUGCGGCGGCUUCAUAACAUCUGCCUAUGGGGGAAAGUUAUUGCUCAACGCUCAGGAAUGCAUAGCCAAUGUGACAGCAAUAGGAAAUAACCUCAGAGAUUAUAGUGGGGGCCACGAAGGGGCAGUGAAUUCAAAACACAGACUGAAUGUAAACAACAUCUUUAGGCUGCAGGACUUCUUCCUUGAGAGAUUUCACAGGAGUAAAGGCCUGUAGUUAUAAAAGAAACACACCAGGAAGAUGUUGAUUAAUCAAUUUUUUAAAAAAUAGAUGGGAUACAAAUGUACUGCAACGCUAAUUCAGUCAUGCAAAAUUUUAGAAAAAGCUAAUUAUUUAAAAUAUAAAAACAGGAUGGAAGGUAUUUCUUCUUCUCUCACCCAUGGAACAGAAUGCCUCUCUUCUGAGAUGGUGCCUACCAUUAGGCAAAUUGCAGCAGCCAAUUUUGGGUGUUAGGGAAGGGAAGCAAGUUGUUAGUUAUUCAUAUUUUAUUCUAUUUUUCCCCCUGCAAGGCAGGAGCUCUACAGUGGGAUUUUCUGCCUCAGUUUGCAAAGUGACUUGACAGGCCUUGGGUACUAUGUACCUUCAUUUUAGGGAAUGGGGCAUAAGCAGUCUCAAUUGAUGAAUCGAUUGAUUAAAGCUCCUAAGGCUUCUUUAAUCAUAGGACAAUCCUAUUAAAAUGUUUCACCUAUUCCCCUCAGCUUCCUUUUUCUGAACUGUGAGAGAGAUGCAUUUAGAACUAAGCUGCGAAAUGUAGAUGCCGAUGACAGGAAUGUGUGUUUCAUCUUUCCCAUGUCAUGCGUUUAGAAAUGUGUGAGGCGGCGGCAGGAACACACCAGCAAACUGAAGACCCGGAAGGACACAUAUUCAGUAUCACUGAGAAGGAGCUGUACGCUCAAUAGAGCGAUACGCACAUAGGGCUGCUCCACAGGAGGAAUAAACCUGGUCGUCCCUGAAUUUCCCCUUGCAUGGAAGAAGCUUGCAUGCACAUACGGCCCUUUCCGAAUUGGUCCAUUUUAAAGAAAAGAAGCUGGUAGACUCUCCUUCCUUGGAGGUUUUUAAGCAGAGGUGGGAGGGCCAUCUGUCAUGGAUACUUUAGUUGAGAUUCCUGCAUUGCAGGGGGGCUGGACUAGAUGACGCUCCAGGUUCCUUCCAACUACCAUAUUUUUUGCUCUAUAAGACUCACUUUUUCCCUCCUAAAAAGUAGGGGGGAAUGUGUGUGCGUCUUAUGGAGCGAAUGCAGGCUGUGCAGCUAUCACAGAAGCCAGAACAGCAAGAGGGAUCGCUGCUUUUGCUGCGCAGCAAUGCCUCUUGCUGUUCUGGCUUCUGAGAUUCAGAAUAUUUUUUUUCUUGUUUUCCUCCUCCAAAAACUAGGUGCUUCUUAUGGUCUGAUGCGUCUUAUACAGCGAAAAAUACGGUAUGCAGUUCUGUGAUUCACCCCAGAGCUAUAUACUUUCAGCAUAACUUGUGAAAAACGCUAUAUGCAUUGCAAAGGAUCUUGAAGUGUGUUGUAUAUCCAUGUGGGACCAGCAAAAAUAUGGUUGGGGUAUUUCGGGCAUGAGAACAGAAUACUCCAGUUAUUAGGUAAGGUAAAGGUAAAGGACCCCUGGAUGGUUAAGUCCAGUCAAAGGCGACUAUGGGGCUGCAGCGCUCAUAUCGCUUUCAGGCCGAGGGAGCUGGCGUUUGUCCACAGACAGCUUUCCGGGUCAUGUGGCCAGCAGGACUAAACCACUUUUGGCGCAACGGAACACUGUGACGAAAACCAGAGCGCACAGAAAUGCCAUUUACCUUCCCGCUGCAGUGGUAUCUAUUUAUCUACUUGCGCUGGUAUGCUUUCAAACUGCUAAGUUAGCAGGAGCUUGGACAGAGCAACAGGAGCUCACCCCAUCAUGGGGAUUCAAACCGCUGACCUUCUGAUCGGCAAGCUCAAGAGCAGGGGUCAGCAAAGGUUUAUCUUGCCUGGGCCAGAUCGGUCCCACGGAGAUCCCUCUGUGGGCCGGAUUGUGUGCACGCGCAUGCGAUUUUCGGCAUCUGCGCAGACGUGAUUUUCAGCAUCUGCACAUGCGCAGACACGAUAUUUGGCACCAUGGAAGCGAGUCCCCGCACUGCGCCUAUUUAGCACAGUGCACGAGAGGGCUGCUCAGUUCGGGGGCGGCUCGUAGGCCGGUCAAACGACCUCCGCGGGCCGCUUCUGGCCCAUGGGCCUUAGGUUGCUGACCCCUGCCCAAGAGGCUCAGUGGUUUAGACCAAAGCGCCACCCCCAUCCCUCCAGUUAUUAACCAACCAGUCAACUAGUGCUGCUCAGCUUAUAAGCAUUGCACAAUUAAUGUGUAUUCUUUCAGGCAUCUGAAUGAACUUUGCCCUUUCUUGUGUCAUGCAUAUUCAUAUUUAGUUAUGACUGACAGCAUCCCAUCAAAAGCCAGUCCCAGAAUGGACUGGCAUGUUGGACUGCCACUUUUUCCCCCAACCCCAGGCUCACCAGAACAUAUGAAAGCACCGGCCUUGCUAAUUGACUUCCCCUCCUGCUCCACUUAAACCUAUUCACAGGUUCAUCACAGGUCAUCAGGAUUUGCAAAUGAGUCAGAGCUGCUGGUCUAGACAUUGUUGAAAGUCAAUCAGCUAUAAAAGAGCAGUGGCCUUGGAUAAAUAAUGAUUGUGAUGGAAUAUUGAGUACAACAGAGAAAUUACGAAAAACAAAGAAACAACAUGAACGUUCCAAACUAAGGUGCUACUGUUUCAGUUCUCUACUCUUUUGUUAAAACCUGUUGCAAAUUCCAGAUUCACCCCAGCACAUUUGAUUGAUUUAGCUUUCAUUUGGGACCAUACCUAGGCUGAUUUAAAAUGGCUUGAUUGAGAGAGCUUUUAAUAGAUGUGUUUAAUUUCCUUUGGUGAUUUUUUUUUUAUUUAAAAAAUAGUUUUACUAUUGCAUGUGUUUGCUGUUCUUCUGCAGGAAAAAAAGUAUAUUCAAUUCUUUUAUUACUCCCAGUAAUAAAAGAAUACAAAGAAAAACCGAAAUAUACACAAGAUUUUAAACAUCACAUCACUCAAACUAGCUAAUGGCAACAGUCGGUUAAUUCAUUAAUUCCAACCAUUUCACUUCCCUGGGAGCACAUACUAGUGGCAGGCUACCACAACAAAAAAGGAUCUCCAAGUGGCCUCCACUUCAGCAAAAAUGGAAGAGAUCCCACAGAAAGAACCUUCGGGGAUCUUAAUAUCUGGUCAGAUUCAUGAAGAUAUAUGCAGUCCUUGGCCACCACCUUGAACUGGGCCUGGAAAUGGAUCGGAAGUGAGUGAAGCCGUUUCAAGAGUGCUAAGAGGUAUUCAGUUUGCCCAGCCAGUAAUUAGCUGCUGCAUACUGUACAAAGUGGAGUUUCUGAACCAUCUCCAUGUACAAAACACCACAAUAAUGCUUCACCAUUUGAGAAAAUGGCAGCUAGUACAGCAUUAAUCCUAGAAUUGUAGAGUUGGAAAUACAGUGGUACCUCGGGUUAAGUACUUAAUUCGUUCCAGAGGUCCGUUCUUAACCUGAAACUGUUCUUAACCUGAAGCACCACUUUAGCUAAUGGGGCCUCCUGCUGCUGCCAUGCCGCCGGAGCCUGAUUUCUGUUCUUAUCCUGAAGCAAAGUUCUUAACCUGAAGCACUAUUUCUGGGUUAGCGGAGCCUGUAACCUGAAGCGUAUGUAACCCGAGGUACCACUGUACUACAAGGGUCAUCUAGUCCAGGCAUGUCCAACAGGUAGAUCUACUGGUAGAUCACUGGACGUCUGCAGUAGAUCAUUGUUAGAUAAUUGGCUCUCCCCAAACUGUAGCUCCUUGACCCCACCCCCCAGAAUGGGCCUUCCUUCUUCCUAAAAAAAGCUUAACAACUUUGACCUGAACCCCAAAAAGGGGGAUAGAUCACUGUCAGUUUUUAACUCUUGUGAGUAGAUUGCAGUCUCUUGGGAGUUGGCCACCCCUGAUUCUAGUCCAAUCUUUUGUCCAACAUGGGACUCAAACCCACAACCUUGAGAUUAAGAGUCUCCAGUCCUAGUGACUAAGCUAUAAUGACAUUGAAUGCAUAUAUCUUGUUUACACAAGCAAGUUCUGAAGCUAUCUGAUCCAGAAAUUCAUAGAAAAAUAUUAGUACAAUUACUUUUUUUUUUUUUUUUGCAGGGCUUCAUUGUGGAUCCUAGACUGGAUAGAGGGGAAAGCAGACCAUCAGAAUAUAUUUGACACAAUAUCAUUCUAGGAUUCUAUGAAUUCAAAAUGGUGACAUCAAAGCGUAAUGCAUAGGAAAGGUGCAUGAAAGAUCUGCACGUUUCCACAAGCGCAGUAACAGCGCAAAGAGGCAAUCCAUUAAAUGUAAGCACAGUGGUGGCAUGACCUGUUUCAAAGCAAAUUCAUCCUCAUGGAGAUUGAAUUUCAUAUGCAGUGACUGAAUGUCCAAAACCAAAUGGCCUUAUUCAUGAGAACGACAUGUUUUAUACGAAAGAAAACAUUUUCAUCGGAUUUUUUUUUAAAGCUCUGUAAGGUGUGUACCCCUUUCUGUUUCCUUUGCGACUGGAUCUCAGCAAAAAUGUUGGGAGGGGGAAAACAAAACCAGUUUCUGGAAAUGGAUCCUCAGCGUGCAGGAGAAUUUUCUAGCAGCUUGCUGAGUAGUGACCUGGCUACCGUAUUGCAAAACACUCAAAGCGGACAAGAAAAGCAGUAUAAUGGAACAAGAACAUCAUCAGCAAUAAUGUAAUGAAUAAAUAACAGUUGGGAUUUAGGUGGAGCUGUGUGCAUCCUACAUUUGUGCUGUAAAGGUAAAGGGUAAAGGGACCCCUGACCAUUAGGUCCAGUCGUGACUGACUCUGGGGUUACGGCGUUCAUCUCGCUUUACUGGCCGAGGGAGCCGGCGUACAGCUUCCGGGUCAUGUGGCCAGCAUGACUAAGCCGCUUCUGGCGAACCAGAGCAGCACGCGGAAAUGCCAUUUACCUUCCCGCCAGAGCAGUAACUAUUUAUCUACUUGCACUUCGUGCUUUCGAACUGCUAGGUUGGCAGGAGCAGGGACCGAGCAACGGCAGCUCACCCCGUCGUGGGGAUUUGAACCGCCGACCUUCUGAUCGGCAAGCCCUAGGCUCUGUGGUUUAGACCACAGCGCCACCUGCAUCCCCAUUUGCACUGUACAUACUUGGAAUUUGGUAGUGGCUCAGCAUGGAGUCCCAUCAAAUGUCAGUCUGAUGCAAUCACAUGGGAGAACUAAAUUAGUACGUAUAUGGCUGGAACUGGAGCAGAGGACCCAAUUCCGAAGCACCCAGUGGCAUAUCUAGGCUCCCUUGUGCUCCUGGCAAGGAGUUGUAUUGGCGUCCCCUCCCUCAGUCCCUUGCGCCGUUGGAAAGACCAUGGACCAGAAACUCAACACGUUUGCUUUUCAUCACCUUUGGGGCAAUGGGGUCAAAAGACCUGGUCCAGCAACUAGAUUCUUCUGCCAAUGAUUCCUCCACCAAGGUGACCAGAGGAGCCUGCAGACCCAGAGCAGCAGAAGUGCAGCCUGGGGAGCACAUAGACAGAUGGGCAGGCUCCUAGCAACUCUGAGCCAGAGUGGAGAGGCGAGAUUUUUGCAUACACCCCAGGCCUGCAGCUUUGGUAGGGGCUAGCCUGGCUAACCCCUAGGUAUGCCCCGGAAGCAGCCACAGCAGAUUUGUAUGCACUUGGGCAAACAGCCUCCUUGGAUUUCACCUGUGAUCUGGAGUAACCUUAUCCUAUCACCACUUGGAUCGCUGAAAUUAGUGGGAACAAGGACAAGGCUUUCUCUGUGGUGGCCCCACAGCUCUGACAUUCUGACAUUCUUUGCCCAUGGUUCUGCAGGAAGCUGCCACACUUCAGUUCUUCCAGAAUGCCUUGAAAGCCUGUUGGUUUUAGAUGGUCUAUGCAUGAACAACGUUUUCUGACUGGGAUGUUAAUUUUUGCUUUUAACAGUUCGUACGUAAUUGUUUUUUAUUGCUGUUAGUGGACGGAUUGUGUUUUAGUGCUGAUUUAUUGUAGUGGUUUUAUUGUUGAUAUCCUGCCUUUACUGUGUAAGCUGGCUUGAAAGAGUUGCGCUCAGAAAGGUGGCCUAUAAUUAAUUAAUUAAUUAAAAAUAAAUAAGUUGAAAACGCUACUCUCUCAUUUUCUCCUUUCAUGGAGGAGGAGUGCAAGUACAUAAUAAAAUAAAAUGGUUAAACUGGUCUCUAGCUUCAUCUGGGUAGGAAAUGCUGAAUGAAACAAAUAUUCUGUUUUGUCCUAAGGGCAGAAUCUUUUCCAAGUGUUCCCUUGAAGGAAACAACAAAGAUGGCAACAUCCCUCUUCUUGGAAAGCGGAAUGGGCGCAUGGCGAGAACGAUUCUAUUUCUCAGUGGGAUAUGACAGGGCACUUGCCAUUUGCUUCUCGAAUAUAGACGCAAGCCUUUUUCAGUCCACACCAUCGUCCCAUGUGCUGAUGGCCCACCCAUUGAAUUCUGCCAUAAUUCACAUGCAAUCCAUAAAGACCAGCUGCCCAGACAUUUGACUUGGAAGCUGAAGUUUUGAAUGGCUUGUGUUAUGUGUGAGCAUGAGAACGAGAAAGCUUGCCAACAUUCUAUUCAGCCCUAGUCAUUUUCAUUCACGAGAGGUAAAGGCUGUGCCCGGGAGAUCCAGCUCUGGGUCAACCCAGGAGAGGUCCAGUGCAAAAGGCUAUGCAACUCUGCUAAUACCCUUAUGUAUUGUUUUGGACGGAAUGCGGAUGUCUUUUUUUCUUUUCUUUUUGUAUAAAAUAAGGAUGGGGGGGCCUGUGGCCCUACAACUCAAAUCAUCAUCGGCCAUUGGACAUGCUGGCUAGGGCUGAUGAAAGCUAGAGUCCAGUAACAUCUGAGAGGCCAUAAAUUCCUUGUCCCUGCUAUCAAGCUAGCAGUACUUGUUCAUUCCAGAGACAGUUUUCAGUAUGCUUCUGGAUUCCUUUAUACAGAAACAAGACAGUAUACUAAGGCUGCAAUCUCAUGCUUCCUUGGAAAUAAAUCCACUGGAAGUGUGUCUUACAUCCAAGUAAACCUGCUUAGGGCUCACAGUGCACAUGUACAAGGAAGGCAACAAGCUUUGCAGUUGAAGGUUGAUUAAAUGGUGAAUGCUUACAUUUUGCCUCGAAUGUAGCUCAUCUCUUACAGCCAUGUGAUCUAAUGCAAUAAUAACACUAUUUUCCUUCUGG